rnacentral:tRNA from 1 species
GGUGACGUGGCCGAGUGGUUAGGCAGCGGUCUGCAAAACCGUGUACGUAGGUUCGACUCCUAUCGUCACCU